GUUAUGUCAUUUGCAGGAAAAUGGAUGGAACUUGAGAGCAUUGUGUUAAAUGAAAUAUGUCAAACUCAGAAAGUCAAGGGUCAUAUGUAGAUGCAAGAGAAGAGAAAGGACCAAAAAUAAAAUAAAAUAAUAAAAUAAAAGGCAGACCAGUAGAGUAGAGAAGAGGGACCAGGGAGAGGGAGGAAAGAAAGGAAAGAGAAAAUUCUGGGGAAUGAUUAAUUUAAUUAUAUUGUUGACAUCAUAUGCAUGUACAAAUUUGUAACAAUGGAUCCCACAUUAUAUAUAAUGAUAAUGCACCAAUAAAGAUGUGGAAUAAAAAAGAGUCUUUGUUGGGGGCUCAAACUGGGGCACCUCCCUCAGUUUGAGGUUUCCAUAGGUGUCCUUGGGGAGUAGAUUGAGGACAAAGAGCAAGUCCCUAGCUUUUCUUGCUACCUUAUAUCGAGGCUUCUGGCUGCUGUUACACUAAAAAUGUGCAGUAAAUAGUGAGACAGAACCAAAUUCCCUUCAUUCUCUACACAUAUGACUAGGUGGUCUUGAGGGCAGGUGACUCACAGCUUAUGCACAGUUUUCAGCGUAACAGCUGUGUUUGCUAUCAUUCUUUUGUCACUUGGCAGUUUUGUCUCUGCACUGAACUGCUGCUGCUGCAUUUGGAGGCAGAUGCUGAACUGAACACAUUCCAAGAGAUAGAAGAACAGAGAAUGAGAGAAUGAGUAUAUAUUGGGCAUCUCAUCUGGAACAAGUAUUGUAUUAAGGAAAUUACUGUGUUCUUUCUUUGGGUCUUUACCAAAUCUUACAAGUAAAUAUGUUCAUGCCAAUUUUGAGGAUGAUGAAUUAGAGGCAUAGAGAGAUGCUCUAAUCUGCUGAGGAUCACACCCAGUAGUGGAAGUCUGGUCUAGAACCUUGGAAGCUAUGUAACGCCAGGCUAAGGUGAAGGCACCACCGAGCAGGGCUGUUCCAUGCUCCUUUCUGGAGUAGGGAGGAAGGAGGGGGGAUGGAAAUUUCCUUUGAAGCUUAGCCAGGGUACAGGGGUGGCAGGAUACUUCUGCCUGUUGUCUUGGCUAGCACGACUGUAAGGCUGAGAAGACCACACACUCAGCUCCACCCUGAUCAGUGAGGAGAGGGUCUUCACUGUGGGAAUGCAGCAGAGAGCCCAGGAAUGAGGUGGCAGGGGUACUCCAAGGCUGGCCCCCAUAUCAGCAGCAUUGACAUCAGCUUGAGAUGGUUAGAACAGAAUCUCUGGAAAUGGGACACAGGAGACUGAACAUAAUUGCUACAGGAUUGAUCAAGGAAGAGGAAGGAGUGAGGAAGCUUGGAUGUGGAGUGUGAGGGUGGUAAGUGGAUGAGAACUCUGAGCUAGUCUGCAGUAUGUGAGAUGGAGCUUUGCUGCAAAGAAAAGAAAGGAAGGCACUGGGGUCAUGAGAAUAGUUGUAGAGUGGGAAAUGGCUAUAGUCAAGAGACCACAUUUGAAUCUUGUCUUAGCAACUCCUGGCUCAGUGAUCUUCAGCAAUCUCUUCAUCUUCCUGGACCUU
rnacentral:lncRNA from 1 species